UGUUGAUUUUUGCAACUUGAUGAAAAUGAUGCCAAAGAAAGGACUAAAGGAUUUUUUCCUAGGAAUGAAAUUAAAAUUUUGGAAAAAACAUAUUGAAUGGAAAGAAGACAUAUUUUUAUCUACAAAUAACGAAAUAGAAGAACAAGACGAAUCAAUUAAAGUGAAGUCUAAAUUUUCGAUUUUAUUUGAAGAAGAGGACGUUUCUGAGGAUUCAGAUUACAUUAAUAUAUGUAAACACUGAGAUCACGGAGCAUAAAAAUCACAUCCGAUGGAACACCUCUAUUCGUAAUGUCAUAACGGAGUAUCGAUUCCAAGAGAGCUAUGAUUUCGAUUGAGACAACGUUAGAUUACUAGAUGAGGAGUCUCAUAAGAAGAAAUUGAGAUGAUACCAUAUUCAUCAGGAGACAGAGGCACGGACUCAACUUGCAGACGGAUAUAGAGAGGCUUCCUAAGGCCUAUCUCUCGAUCGUAGACAAGCUAUAAAGAAUGACUAUUCCGUUGCCCCAAAAGAAGAGGGAAGUAAUCAAUCUCUUGCUAGAGGAAAACUUUUUGAUAGAGCAAGAAAUCUGAAAGAAUGAAUG